rnacentral:rRNA from 1 species
CUAUUAAAAAGGCGAUGUUGGCUUAGAAGCAGCCAUCUAAAGAACGCGUAGUAGCUCUGCCUUUGAGUAACUGUGCUCAAGAUACGCAGAAAAAAAGCCACCGAAAC